rnacentral:rRNA from 1 species
GACAGAGGGGGCAAGCGUUGCUCGGAAUCACUGGGCGUAAAGGGCGCGUAGGCGGGAUGGCAAGUCAGUCGUGAAAUCCCCGGGCUCAACCUGGGAAUGGCAUUUGGGACUGCAAGGCUUGAGUGCGGCAGAGGAGACUGGAAUUCCUGGUGUAGCAGUGAAAUGCGUAGAUAUCAGGAGGAACACCGGUGGCGAAGGCGGCUUGCUGGGCCUUACCUGACGCUGAGGAGCGAAAGCGUGGGGAGCGAACAGG